UGCAGUCGAGCGGUAGCACAGGGAGCUUGCUCCUGGGUGACGAGCGGCGGACGGGUGAGUAAUGUCUGGGAAACUGCCUGAUGGAGGGGGAUAACUACUGGAAACGGUAGCUAAUACCGCAUAACGUCUACGGACCAAAGUGGGGGACCUUCGGGCCUCAUGCCAUCAGAUGUGCCCAGAUGGGAUUAGCUAGUAGGUGGGGUAAUGGCUCACCUAGGCGACGAUCCCUAGCUGGUCUGAGAGGAUGACCAGCCACACUGGAACUGAGACACGGUCCAGACUCCUACGGGAGGCAGCAGUGGGGAAUAUUGCACAAUGGGCGCAAGCCUGAUGCAGCCAUGCCGCGUGUGUGAAGAAGGCCUUCGGGUUGUAAAGCACUUUCAGCGAGGAGGAAGGGUACUGUGUUAAUAGCACACUGCAUUGACGUUACUCGCAGAAAAAGCACCGGCUAACUCCGUGCCAGCAGCCGCGGUAAUACGGAGGGUGCAAGCGUUAAUCGGAAUUACUGGGCGUAAAGCGCACGCACGCGGUUUGUUAAGUCAGAUGUGAAAUCCCCGCGCUUAACGUGGGAACUGCAUUUGAAACUGGCAAGCUAGAGUCUUGUAGAGGGGGGUAGAAUUCCAGGUGUAGCGGUGAAAUGCGUAGAGAUCUGGAGGAAUACCGGUGGCGAAGGCGGCCCCCUGGACAAAGACUGACGCUCACGUGCGAAAGCGUGUGGAGCACACACGAUUAGAUACCCUGGUAGUCCACGCUGUAUACGAUGUCUACUUGUAGGUUGUGCCCUUGAGGCGUG
rnacentral:rRNA from 1 species